rnacentral:rRNA from 1 species
CAGUCGCCGCGGUAAGACAGAGGAUGCAAGCGUUAUCCGGAAUGAUUGGGCGUAAAGCGUCUGUAGGUGGCUUUUCAAGUCCGCCGUCAAAUCCCAGGGCUCAACCCUGACAGGCGGUGGAAACUACCAAGCUAGAGUACGGUAGGGGCAGAGGGAAUUUCCGGUGGAGCGGUGAAAUGCGUUGAGAUCGGAAAGAGCACCAACGGCGAAAGCACUCUGCUGGGCCGACACCGACACUGAGAGACGAAAGCUAGGGGAGCAAAUGGGAUUAGAUACCCGCGUAGUCCCUGUCUCUUAUACA